rnacentral:lncRNA from 1 species
AGUCAGUGUAAAGGAAAGUCUAAGGAUGGAUGGUUUCGUUGGAGUUCAGAAUGCUUUUUCCCUGUCACCUUAUUAAAACCUAAAAUAAAGCUACUUAAAAUUCUAACCCAGAAGUUUGCUAGCCUUCCGUAUCUCUCUCCCUCAACCCCCAAUUCCUUUUAAUUGAGAGGUACAAGCUGAUGGCUUAAAACUGUUAUCGACUCAAGUUAAUUCCAUAAAUAAGAUGCAAGGAAAUCAGUAGGCUAAAUAUGCCACGUGAACUCCUGGCCUGAG